CCUACGGUGGGCAGCAGUGGGGAAUAUUGCGCAAUGGGCGAAAGCCUGACGCAGCGACGCCGCGUGAGGGAUGAAGGUCUUCGGAUCGUAAACCUCUGUCAGCAGGGAAGAACGGUCACUGUGCUAAUCAGCAGUGAAUUGACGGUACCUGCAAAGGAAGCACCGGCUAACUCCGUGCCAGCAGCCGCGGUAAUACGGAGGGUGCGAGCGUUAAUCGGAAUUACUGGGCGGAAAGCGCUCGUAGGCGGUAUGUCAAGUCAAGGGUGAUAUCCCCGCGCGCAACGUGGGAACUGCCUUUGAAACUGGAGAACCGGAGUGUGUGAGAGGAUAGUGGAAUUCCAGGUGUAGGAGUGAAAUCCGUAGAUAUCUGGAGGAACAUCAGUGGCGAAGGCGACUAUCUGGCACAUAACUGACGCUGAGGAGCGAAAGCGUGGGUAGCAAACAGGAUUAGAUACCCGUGUAGUC
rnacentral:rRNA from 1 species